UAGGGAAUCUUCCGCAAUGGGCGAAAGCCUGACGGAGCAACGCCGCGUGAGUGAAGAAGGUCUUCGGAUCGUAAAACUCUGUUAUUAGGGAAGAACAAAUGUGUAAGUAACUAUGCACGUCUUGACGGUACCUAAUCAGAAAGCCACGGCUAACUACGUGCCAGCAGCCGCGGUAAUACGUAGGUGGCAAGCGUUAUCCGGAAUUAUUGGGCGUAAAGCGCGCGUAGGCGGUUUUUUAAGUCUGAUGUGAAAGCCCACGGCUCAACCGUGGAGGGUCAUUGGAAACUGGAAAACUUGAGUGCAGAAGAGGAAAGUGGAAUUCCAUGUGUAGCGGUGAAAUGCGCAGAGAUAUGGAGGAACACCAGUGGCGAAGGCGACUUUCUGGUCUGUAACUGACGCUGAUGUGCGAAAGCGUGGGGAUCAAACAGGAUUAGAUACCCUGGUAGUCCACGCCGUAAACGAUGAGUGCUAAGUGUUAGGGGGUUUCCGCCCCUUAGUGCUGCAGCUAACGCAUUAAGCACUCCGCCUGGGGAGUACGACCGCAAGGUUUG
rnacentral:rRNA from 1 species